rnacentral:rRNA from 1 species
UACGGAGGGAGCUAGCGUUAUUCGGAAUUACUGGGCGUAAAGCGCACGUAGGCGGCUUUGUAAGUUAGAGGUGAAAGCCUGGAGCUCAACUCCAGAAUUGCCUUUAAGACUGCAUCGCUUGAAUCCAGGAGAGGUGAGUGGAAUUCCGAGUGUAGAGGUGAAAUUCGCAGAUAUUCGGAAGAACACCAGUGGCGAAGGCGGCUCACUGGACUGGUAUUGACGCUGAGGUGCGAAAGCGUGGGGAGCAAACAGG